GUUCACAGUUCAUGUUGAUUUAUGUUUACAGUUCACAGUUCAUGUUGAUUUCUUUGUUUGUGUUGCAGUUACACUGUUGGAUAUUUUCAUACAGUUUCAAGCAUAUGGUGCCUUCUGCAAGCUAAUGAAGAAGGAGGUCUUUCUCCGGGGUUCCACACACAAAAGUACUCUAAGAAGUGUAUGAAUGAACGCAAGCGCCGAAUGGAACGCUCCAGUCUUCCUUCGUCCAAGCGUCGCAGACUCACAUUGAAACAAGAGAGGUGUAUAUGUAAAGGAGCAACUGAAGUGCUAGAAGGUGCCACAUAUCAGUCAGAAAUUGGUCUUCAGAAUGAUGUUGAUGUGGAAACAAUACCGGAAUGAUCUUCAAGGAUUGAAAAUGAAAAUAUUACAUCUUUGAUUGUAUGUACUGACUUUAAAAGAUCCUGCAUUAUGUCACUUAGACUAUACCCCACAAUUUUCAUAGGUUAUUGGCGAUAAUCGUUGACACGCGUUAUACAAACUUAUGAUCACUUGUUCAAGUACAGGGCAAGGGUUGUAAUUUACGAUCUUAGUUGAAAUUUGAAAGUAAACAAAAUCAAAACAUUUCUUCUUUUUUUCCCCGAACAUUCAUAUUCGUUUUUUUAUGUUCGAAUAUUCGGUAGUAUUUCAAAUAUUCGUAUAUAAUUCCCGGCCUUACUAUUUU